AGUGAACGCUGGCGGUAGGCCUAACACAUGCCAGUCGAACGGCAGCACAGUAAGAGCUUGCUCUUACGGGUGGCGAGUGGCGGACGGGUGAGGAAUACAUCGGAAUCUACUUUUUCGUGGGGGAUAACGUAGGGAAACUUACGCUAAUACCGCAUACGACCUACGGGUGAAAGCAGGGGAUCUUCGGACCUUGCGCGAUUGAAUGAGCCGAUGUCGGAUUAGCUAGUUGGCGGGGUAAAGGCCCACCAAGGCGACGAUCCGUAGCUGGUCUGAGAGGAUGAUCAGCCACACUGGAACUGAGACACGGUCCAGACUCCUACGGGAGGCAGCAGUGGGGAAUAUUGGACAAUGGGCGCAAGCCUGAUCCAGCCAUACCGCGUGGGUGAAGAAGGACUUCGGGUUGUAAAGCCCUUUUGUUGGGAAAGAAAAGCAGCAGGUUAAUACCCCGCUGUUCUGACGGUACCCAAAGAAUAAGCACCGGCUAACUUCGUG
rnacentral:rRNA from 1 species